AGUGAACGCUGGCGGUAGGCCUAACACAUGCAAGUCGAACGGCAGCACAGGAGAGCUUGCUCUCUGGGUGGCGAGUGGCGGACGGGUGAGGAAUACAUCGGAAUCUACUCUGUCGUGGGGGAGAACGUAGGGAAACUUACGCUAAUACCGCAUCCGACCUACGGGUGAAAGCAGGGGACCUUCGGGCCUUGCGCGAUUGAAUGAGCCGAUGUCGGAUUAGCUAGUUGGCGGGGUAAAGGCCCACCAAGGCGACGAUCCGUAGCUGGUCUGAGAGGAUGAUCAGCCACACUGGAACUGAGACACGGUCCAGACUCCUACGGGAGGCAGCAGUGGGGAAUAUUGGACAAUGGGCGCAAGCCUGAUCCAGCCAUACCGCGUGGGUGAAGAAGGCCUUCGGGUUGUAAAGCCCUUUUGUUUGGAAAGAAAUCCAGCUGGCUAAUACCCGGUUGGGAUGACGGUACCCAAAGAAUAAGCACCGGCUAACUUCGUGCCAGCCGCCGCCGUAA
rnacentral:rRNA from 1 species